rnacentral:lncRNA from 1 species
AGAGGCGGAUGAAACCACGGGAAAGGACUCGGGGCUGAAAUCAACACACUUGACUGGGUUUGGGGAGCUAAGUCAAUCAGCAGUCGCCCGAAAAAGAACUCCGAAAAAGGAAAAUAAAAGGGGAAAAAAAGAGUUCCUCAGGUCAUUCCCCUGCCCAACUUCCUCAGCGGCCCGGUGGGCGAGGCAGUGAGACUUCCACCGCCCGCUCCCAGCCUCUGCCUCCCCCACCCUCCCGGCUCCCUCCCGGCCUAGGCGGCCGCCCGACACCUCACUUACCCUCGGAGCCUGGCGGGUGCUUUGGCCACGGGCCGCCUCCGCCUCUCCCGCUCCCUACGGCCCGCGGGCGGGCGCGGAACCCUCGCGCGGGAGAGCAGGGCCGGCAGGUGAGAGCCGAGAGAGGCGAGGGACUCUGCUUUCGGUAAAUAGGAAGCCCGGUUGGGGGGGCAGGAGCGGCGGCCCCGCAACUUCCCUCCCCGCCUCGAGCGCCGCCGGCCGGGCCCAGGCCUAGCUCUCGCUGGCCGCCACUGCUGGAGCUGGUAACAGAGCCUGCUGUGUGCCCCCGCUGGGCCGCCGCCGCCUCCUGCGCCGCCGCUUCCGCCGGUGAAUGGUCAGUGCUGGAGUUUGAACAGGGCCCUGAACCAUCUCAACGCCAUUUGCGCUCCCGGCCCCCACCUCCUUCCUCCAACAGCCGCUCGCUCCGUCACUCCGCUUCCCACAGUCCCCGCGCGGCCGCCCGACCCCGCAGCCAAUCGCGCAGCCGCUUACUCAAACCGCCGCGCAGGCGCUGCGCCCCGCAUGCUCCGGCGCCCGCCAUUGGCCCGGCCGCGGAGCCCGACGGGAGUUGUAGUCCAGGUCCGCGAGGUCGCGGGCCGAGGACCAGGCGCGGGAGCGGGAGCGGGCGACUGGCCGGGCCCUCCCGGUCUCGGCAGCCACUUCUAGCUCCCGGCCCAGCCGGGAGACGCAGGUGCCACGGAGAUGGGCAGCCGGGCGGGUGGCGCAGUGCAGGCAGCUGUAUCAAUCGCUUCCCCUCCAGGGACCCGCCGGUGCCUGGGGACCGCGGGCUGUGCAGCUGUGCCGGGCCUGCGGAGGCCGCCGCCCGGGAGCUGGGAGGCAGGGGGCGCGUGGUCAAGAGCCGCCCUCGACCUGGCCUGGUCGGUCCUGGCCCGGCGUAGGUGACGAUGGCGGGGACCGCGAGGCGCCGGACACCCGAGGCCACGAGCAGCGUCGCCCCUCGCUUUUUCGCGCCCCUCCAGCCCUGCAGUCCUUCCUCUAAGUCCGUCUGCCCCUCACCGAUUGAAAGUGGCCCCGAGAAUAUUGGAUGGUAUUGAGCAAUUAUCAUUAACUUUGUUGGGUGUGGUAACGGUAAUGUGGUUAUGGUUUUUUGUUUUUUUUUUUUUAAGACCUACUGAUGUGUUGACAGAGUGAUCUGGUGUCAGGACUGUAAAAUACGCCUAUGAAAACUGGGGGAGAGGAAUAAAACAAGCUGGCA